rnacentral:tRNA from 1 species
CAAGAAGUAGCUUAACCCAAAGCACUCAGCUUACACCCGAGACAUGCCCACUAACUGGGCCUUCAUGA